GCAAAUACUUCACUUUCAUCUCCCUCAUCUCUCCAAAUCCCCUCCCAAACCCUAGCCGCCCCAAGACCCUUUGCCGGCGGUGCUGCUUCAAACAACCCCAAUCUCCCUAAAAUCUUCACCCCACAAUCCCCACCUCCUUCUUAUCCCAUAUCCCUCUGUUCUUUCUUUCAAAAACCUCCAGAAUCUCUUAAUCUUUAAAUCUAGGAAAUCCUAAAACCUAUAUCCACUCCUUUUCGAUUUUUUCUCAAAUCCCGGUUUGUUUGGGCUUAAAACCAACACCAAUCGACUUCUCUAAUUUAGUGUUAUAGGUUGACGUUGGUUUUGUCUCGUUUUAAGAUCGCCGGCUGCCGGUCAAUUCACCAUUGACUGGCCAGAACUAUUGAGAGUCCUUUGAUGUUGACCGAAUUAUGUCUAACAUCGUCGCAUGCAGUUACACCCUCAAGCGUAAGCCAGUGCUUGUGUGGUGAUGCCAGCCAUCGUUCAGAAUUCUUUUCUUUCCGAUCAACAUUGUUUCACGUGAGUGAGGCUAUUGAAGACUGUUUGGUUGGUGUUCUAGACGUUGCAAGGUUGGGAAACAUGUCAUUAGCGAGACACUGUUGCGGGAGAUAGAGCUAGUGGCUGGCGAGUUUGCUCGAGUGAUUCCUAUUGCUAAGAUGAGCCACUGCAUUGUUCGUGGAGGCUUUCGUUUCAGACUUACCUAGCUCGUGUUAGUUAGUUUCUUUUUAUUUAGGGUUUGCAUACCCGUCAAUAAACUCAUGUUACUCUGUUAGAUGCUCUAUGGUCUUAGUGUGGGAUUUGGGAUAGAGUUUUAAUAUUUGAGUGAUUGUUGGUUUUUCUAUCGAUUGACUAAGAUAUUGGACGAUAAUCAUUUCCUCUUUAAUUAUUAAUAAUACUAUUAGGUCUGCAUUUUCUUCUCUCAGUGUUUGUGUAGAUGGUUAAGCACUAGAGAAAGGGGUUCACCUGGCAGGUGGUGUUAGUUGGGUGUCAGUCACGUCUAGGGGGUAGUUUGGGACGUGACAAAUUACGCAUGUGCUUAAUUGAUAGGUCAACUAGUUUGCUGAUUAUGAUUAAUUUGUACUUGAUAGCUUAAUAUCAAUUUAGAUUAAUUAAAUGUUAUUUAGUAAAUAUUGAUUCUGUGGGAUAAAAGAGGACAGUAGGUUGAGGUAAAGACACUAGUUGGUAUUAUUGAAACUUUAGGGAGGUAAAUGAGAUAGAAACUUAAGUAAUGUUUCUUUUAGUUGAUGAAAAGUUUUAAAAGAGGUUGGAAGGGGUUAAAAUGUGAUAAACUAGAGGUCAAAAGGGGUUAAUUUCAGAAGUUAAGGGGCUGAGAAAAAUAGAAAAAGAAUAGAUGAUGGACAGCUUUCCAAAUUGGUUAAGAAAAGAUGCUGAAAAUAAGAAAAAAUAUCUGAAAAGGACAGUUGUCCAAUUCAGUUGCAUAAGAUGCCAUUUUCCUAAAUUUGGGGGGGGGGGNACAGAUUCUUUCCACAACCUCUGAUUUUUAUGCAUAAAAAUUCACAUACACCUUCAGAUUAAGCAUUUUUUGAUCUCUGCAUCUUUACACACACACAAUACUUACAAAAGCUAAGAAUUCGGAAAAAGAUUCUCAAGAAAACUUCAAAAAAGAUGAGGUUUCAGCUUUUCGAGUCCUUGUUAGAAUUUCAGGGCAUAUAUUUGAAGCUGUUCUUUUUCUGGCAUGUUUGGUUGUGCUUGUUGCUUGCUUUGAAGCUGAUUUUUCUCUCUGGAGUUUUCAGCUCUAUUGGGCUCUAAUCCUUUCUCUGUAUUCAUCUUUUCCAAACAUUUUGCCUACUCCUUAUGGGCUUAGAAAUGAAUGAAGUUUUCAUGAUGAUAUGAUUGCUGGUAGUGAAGUUGAGUUGUGGUUUAUGAAUUUCCCUAUUAAUUGGUUUGUAAUGCUUUAAGGCUUGAGAUCCUACCGAUCCUUCAUAAUCCCCAUGAAUAUCCAUGAUUCACUA